UACGAAGGGGGCUAGCGUUGCUCGGAAUCACUGGGCGUAAAGCGCACGUAGGCGGAUUGUUAAGUCAGGGGUGAAAUCCUGGAGCUCAACUCCAGAACUGCCUUUGAUACUGGCGAUCUCGAGUCCGGGAGAGGUGAGUGGAACUGCGAGUGUAGAGGUGAAAUUCGUAGAUAUUCGCAAGAACACCAGUGGCGAAGGCGGCUCCCUGGCCCGAUACUGACGCUGAGGUGCGAAAGCGUGGGGAGCAAACAGG
rnacentral:rRNA from 1 species